AGAUUGAACGCUGGCGGCAUGCUUUACACAUGCAAGUCGAACGGCAGCGCGGGGCAACCUGGCGGCGAGUGGCGAACGGGUGAGUAAUAUAUCGGAACGUACCCAAGAGUGGGGGAUAACGUAGCGAAAGUUACGCUAAUACCGCAUACGAUCUAAGGAUGAAAGUGGGGGAUCGCAAGACCUCAUGCUCCUGGAGCGGCCGAUAUCUGAUUAGCUAGUUGGUGAGGUAAAGGCUCACCAAGGCGACGAUCAGUAGCUGGUCUGAGAGGACGACCAGCCACACUGGAACUGAGACACGGUCCAGACUCCUACGGGAGGCAGCAGUGGGGAAUUUUGGACAAUGGGCGCAAGCCUGAUCCAGCAAUGCCGCGUGAGUAGAAGAAGGCCUUAGGUUCGUAAAGGCUACUUUUGUCGUAGGAAGGAAACGGUAGGGAGACGUAAUAGUACUACCUACUAAUAGACGGUACCUAGUAAGAAUAAGACCACGACCUAACUACGUCGCUAGCAACG
rnacentral:rRNA from 1 species